GAACAUCACCGAAAAUAGCGCCGAAUUUGCUAACAAGGUUGGUCGAUUUUUUCAAGCCGUCGCGCAGUGUACCUAGAAGUACACGAGCAACGGAAGUUAAAAAAUCGGGCAAGAUUGAACGCAAAGGCAAGCGGGACAUUUGAGGAUGGGGUGACUGCGUACCUUUUGUAUAAUGGGUCAGCGACUUAUAUUCUGUAGCAAGGUUAACCGCAUAGGGGAGCCGUAGGGAAACCGAGUCUUAACUGGGCGAAUGAGUUGCAGGGUAUAGACCC
rnacentral:rRNA from 1 species